rnacentral:rRNA from 1 species
GGUCAAGCGAACAAGUGCAUGUGGUGGAUGCCUUGGCGAUCACAGGCGAUGAAGGACGCGGUAGCCUGCGAAAAGCUACGGGGAGCUGGCAAACGAGCUUUGAUCCGUAGAUGUCCGAAUGGGGAAACCCGGCCCUUUUGGGUCAUCCUGGACUGAAUACAUAGGUCCAGUGAAGCGAACGCGGUGAACUGAAACAUCUAAGUAACCGCAGGAAAAGAAAUCAACCGAGAUUCCCAAAGUAGUGGCGAGCGAAAUGGGAUGAGCCUUGCACUCUUUAUUUGUAUUGUUAGCCGAACGCUCUGGAAAGUGCGGCCAUAGCGGGUGAUAGCCCCGUAGGCGAAAACAGUAUGAAAGAACUAGGUGUGCGACAAGUAGGGCGGGACACGUGAAAUCCUGUCUGAAGAUGGGGGGACCAUCCUCCAAGGCUAAAUACUCGUGAUCGACCGAUAGUGAACCAGUACCGUGAGGGAAAGGCGAAAAGAACCCCGGGAGGGGAGUGAAAUAGAUCCUGAAACCGCAUGCAUACAAACAGUCGGAGCCUCGUAAGGGGUGACGGCGUACCUUUUGUAUAAUGGGUCAGCGACUUACGUUCAGUAGCAAGCUUAACCGUAUAGGGCAGGCGUAGCGAAAGCGAGUCCGAAUAGGGCGUUCAGUUGCUGGGCGUAGACCCGAAACCAGGUGAUCUAUCCAUGGCCAGGAUGAAGGUGCGGUAACACGUACUGGAGGUCCGAACCCACUAACGUUGAAAAGUUAGGGGAUGAGCUGUGGAUAGGGGUGAAAGGCUAAACAAACCUGGAAAUAGCUGGUUCUCUCCGAAAACUAUUUAGGUAGUGCCUCGUGUCUCACCUUCGGGGGUAGAGCACUGUCAUGGUUGGGGGGUCUAUUGCAGAUUACCCCGCCAUAGCAAACUCCGAAUACCGAAGAGUGCAAUCACGGGAGACAGACAUCGGGUGCUAACGUCCGGUGUCAAGAGGGAAACAACCCAGACCGCCAGCUAAGGUCCCCAAAUAUAGCUAAGUGGGAAACGAAGUGGGAAGGCUAAAACAGUCAGGAGGUUGGCUUAGAAGCAGCCACCCUUUAAAGAAAGCGUAAUAGCUCACUGAUCGAGUCGUCCUGCGCGGAAGAUGUAACGGGGCUAAGCUAUAUACCGAAGCUGCGGAUGCGAGCUUUGCUCGCAUGGUAGGAGAGCGUUCCGUAAGCCUGCGAAGGUGCGUUGAAAAGCGUGCUGGAGGUAUCGGAAGUGCGAAUGCUGACAUGAGUAGCGAUAAAGGGGGUGAAAGGCCCCCUCGCCGUAAGCCCAAGGUUUCCUACGCAACGUUCAUCGGCGUAGGGUGAGUCGGCCCCUAAGGCGAGGCAGAAAUGCGUAGCUGAUGGGAAGCAGGUCAAUAUUCCUGCACCAUUGUUAGAUGCGAUGGGGGGACGGAUCGCGGAAGGUUGUCCGGGUGUUGGAAGUCCCGGUCGCUGCAUUGGAGAAGGCGCUUAGGCAAAUCCGGGCGCGUAAUUCAAGGGUGUGGCGCGAGCUCCUUAGGGAGCGAAGCAAUUGGAAGUGGUUCCAAGAAAAGCCUCUAAGCUUCAGUCUAACGAUGACCGUACCGCAAACCGACACAGGUGGGCGAGAUGAGUAUUCUAAGGCGCUUGAGAGAACUCGGGAGAAGGAACUCGGCAAAUUGGUACCGUAACUUCGGGAUAAGGUACGCCCUUGUAGCUUGACUGGCCUGCGCCAGGAGGGUGAAGGGGUUGCAAUAAACUGGUGGCUGCGACUGUUUAAUAAAAACACAGCACUCUGCAAACACGAAAGUGGACGUAUAGGGUGUGACGCCUGCCCGGUGCCGGAAGAUUAAAUGAUGGGGUGCAAGCUCUUGAUUGAAGUCCCGGUAAACGGCGGCCGUAACUAUAACGGUCCUAAGGUAGCGAAAUUCCUUGUCGGGUAAGUUCCGACCUGCACGAAUGGCGUAACGAUGGCCACACUGUCUCCUCCCGAGACUCAGCGAAGUUGAAGUGUUUGUGAUGAUGCAAUCUACCCGCGGCUAGACGGAAAGACCCCAUGAACCUUUACUGUAGCUUUGCAUUGGACUUUGAACCGAUCUGUGUAGGAUAGGUGGGAGGCUAUGAAACCGGAACGCUAGUUUCGGUGGAGCCGUCCUUGAAAUACCACCCUGGUUUGUUUGAGGUUCUAACCUUGGCCCGUGAUCCGGGUCGGGGACAGUGCAUGGUAGGCAGUUUGACUGGGGCGGUCUCCUCCCAAAGCGUAACGGAGGAGUACGAAGGUACGCUAGGUACGGUCGGAAAUCGUGCUGAUAGUGCAAUGGCAUAAGCGUGCUUAACUGCGAGACCGACAAGUCGAGCAGGUGCGAAAGCAGGUCAUAGUGAUCCGGUGGUUCUGUAUGGAAGGGCCAUCGCUCAACGGAUAAAAGGUACUCUGGGGAUAACAGGCUGAUACCGCCCAAGAGUUCAUAUCGACGGCGGUGUUUGGCACCUCGAUGUCGGCUCAUCUCAUCCUGGGGCUGUAGCCGGUCCCAAGGGUAUGGCUGUUCGCCAUUUAAAGAGGUACGUGAGCUGGGUUUAAAACGUCGUGAGACAGUUUGGUCCCUAUCUGCCGUGGGCGUUGGAUAUUUGAAGGGGGCUGCUCCUAGUACGAGAGGACCGGAGUGGACGAACCUCUGGUGUACCGGUUGUCACGCCAGUGGCAUCGCCGGGUAGCUAUGUUCGGAAGAGAUAACCGCUGAAAGCAUCUAAGCGGGAAACUCGCCUUAAGAUGAGAUAUCCCUGGGGACUAGAUCCCCUUGAAGGGUCGUUCGAGACCAGGACGUUGAUAGGUCAGGUGUGUAAGCGCAGUAAUGCGUUCAGCUAACUGAUACUAAUUGCCCGUAAGGCUUGAUCCU